UACGGGGGGGGCAAGCGUUGUUCGGAAUUACUGGGCGUAAAGGGCUCGUAGGCGGCCAACUAAGUCACACGUGAAAUCCCUCAGCUUAACUGGGGAACUGCGUGUGAUACUGGAUGGCUUGGAUUUGGGAGAGGGAUGCGGAAUUCCAGGUGUAGCGGUGAAAUGCGUAGAUAUCUGGAGGAACACCGGUGGCGAAGGCGGCAUCCUGGACCAAUAUUGACGCUGAGGAGCGAAAGCCAGGGGAGCAAACUGG
rnacentral:rRNA from 1 species